GUUGAAACACCAGUUCCUGUACGAACACUGUAGUUAAGCAAUGUUGACCCUGGUCAGUAACUAGAUGGGUGACUGCUUGGGAAUACCAGGUGCU